UGGAAUUAAUGUUUGUUAUUGGCGUACUGCAGAUGGACUAGAGUGGAACUUGGAUAAACGUGUUGCAAGGCACGGAUCUGGGGUUCUUGAAUUGACGCGUGUCCAGACUUUCAUGGUGACGAAUGGUGCUGAAGAUUAACUACAGAAUGACUGCCCAAUACGCAGAUCUCAAGAUGAAGAUGGAACUGAAUAGCAUCUUGUGAUGCUGUAAACCCUUUGUGACUUGAGUAACAUUUUACAAUAAAAGUAGAAUUUAAGCUUUGA